GGCACAAAAUUGAAGCAGAAUAGUUGGGUAUGGUCGGCUGAUCCUACUAAUCUACUGUACUUCAAGUUUGUCCCC
rfam:Haemonchus placei strain MHpl1 genome assembly, scaffold: HPLM_scaffold0002171